rnacentral:rRNA from 1 species
CGAUGAAGGACGUGCUAAUCUGCGAUAAGCGUCGGUAAGGUGAUAUGAACCGUUAUAACCGGCGAUUUCCGAAUGGGGAAACCCAGUGUGAUUCGUCACACUAUCAUUAACUGAAUCCAUAGGUUAAUGAGGCGAACCGGGGGAACUGAAACAUCUAAGUACCCCGAGGAAAAGAAAUCAACCGAGAUUCCCCCAGUAGCGGCGAGCGAACGGGGAGCAGCCCAGAGCCUGAAUCAGUGUGUGUGUUAGUGGAAGCGUCUGGAAAGGCGUGCGAUACAGGGUGACAGCCCCGUACACAAAAAUGCACAUAUUGUGAGCUCGAUGAGUAGGGCGGGACACGUGGUAUCCUGUCUGAAUAUGGGGGGACCAUCCUCCAAGGCUAAAUACUCCUGACUGACCGAUAGUGAACCAGUACCGUGAGGGAAAGGCGAAAAGAACCCCGGCGAGGGGAGUGAAAAAGAACCUGAAACCGUGUACGUACAAGCAGUGGGAGCACGCUUAGGCGUGUGACUGCGUACCUUUUGUAUAAUGGGUCAGCGACUUAUAUUCUGUAGCAAGGUUAACCGAAUAGGGGAGCCGAAGGGAAACCGAGUCUUAACUGGGCGUUAAGUUGCAGGGUAUAGACCCGAAACCCGGUGAUCUAGCCAUGGGCAGGUUGAAGGUUGGGUAACACUAACUGGAGGACCGAACCGACUAAUGUUGAAAAAUUAGCGGAUGACUUGUGGCUGGGGGUGAAAGGCCAAUCAAACCGGGAGAUAGCUGGUUCUCCCCGAAAGCUAUUUAGGUAGCGCCUCGUGAAUUCAUCUCCGGGGGUAGAGCACUGUUUCGGCAAGGGGGUCAUCCCGACUUACCAACCCGAUGCAAACUGCGAAUACCGGAGAAUGUUAUCACGGGAGACACACGGCGGGUGCUAACGUCCGUCGUGAAGAGGGAAACAACCCAGACCGCCAGCUAAGGUCCCAAAGUCAUGGUUAAGUGGGAAACGAUGUGGGAAGGCCCAGACAGCCAGGAUGUUGGCUUAGAAGCAGCCAUCAUUUAAAGAAAGCGUAAUAGCUCACUGGUCGAGUCGGCCUGCGCGGAAGAUGUAACGGGGCUAAACCAUGCACCGAAGCUGCGGCAGCGACGCUGAUGCGUUGUUGGGUAGGGGAGCGUUCUGUAAGCCUGCGAAGGUGUGCUGUGAGGCAUGCUGGAGGUAUCAGAAGUGCGAAUGCUGACAUAAGUAACGAUAAAGCGGGUGAAAAGCCCGCUCGCCGGAAGACCAAGGGUUCCUGUCCAACGUUAAUCGGGGCAGGGUGAGUCGACCCCUAAGGCGAGGCCGAAAGGCGUAGUCGAUGGGAAACAGGUUAAUAUUCCUGUACUUGGUGUUACUGCGAAGGGGGGACGGAGAAGGCUAUGUUGGCCGGGCGACGGUUGUCCCGGUUUAAGCGUGUAGGCUGGUUUUCCAGGCAAAUCCGGAAAAUCAAGGCUGAGGCGUGAUGACGAGGCACUACGGUGCUGAAGCAACAAAUGCCCUGCUUCCAGGAAAAGCCUCUAAGCAUCAGGUAACAUCAAAUCGUACCCCAAACCGACACAGGUGGUCAGGUAGAGAAUACCAAGGCGCUUGAGAGAACUCGGGUGAAGGAACUAGGCAAAAUGGUGCCGUAACUUCGGGAGAAGGCACGCUGAUAUGUAGGUGAAGUCCCUCGCGGAUGGAGCUGAAAUCAGUCGAAGAUACCAGCUGGCUGCAACUGUUUAUUAAAAACACAGCACUGUGCAAACACGAAAGUGGACGUAUACGGUGUGACGCCUGCCCGGUGCCGGAAGGUUAAUUGAUGGGGUCAGCGCAAGCGAAGCUCUUGAUCGAAGCCCCGGUAAACGGCGGCCGUAACUAUAACGGUCCUAAGGUAGCGAAAUUCCUUGUCGGGUAAGUUCCGACCUGCACGAAUGGCGUAAUGAUGGCCAGGCUGUCUCCACCCGAGACUCAGUGAAAUUGAACUCGCUGUGAAGAUGCAGUGUACCCGCGGCAAGACGGAAAGACCCCGUGAACCUUUACUAUAGCUUGACACUGAACAUUGAGCCUUGAUGUGUAGGAUAGGUGGGAGGCUUUGAAGUGUGGACGCCAGUCUGCAUGGAGCCGACCUUGAAAUACCACCCUUUAAUGUUUGAUGUUCUAACGUUGACCCGUAAUCCGGGUUGCGGACAGUGUCUGGUGGGUAGUUUGACUGGGGCGGUCUCCUCCUAAAGAGUAACGGAGGAGCACGAAGGUUGGCUAAUCCUGGUCGGACAUCAGGAGGUUAGUGCAAUGGCAUAAGCCAGCUUGACUGCGAGCGUGACGGCGCGAGCAGGUGCGAAAGCAGGUCAUAGUGAUCCGGUGGUUCUGAAUGGAAGGGCCAUCGCUCAACGGAUAAAAGGUACUCCGGGGAUAACAGGCUGAUACCGCCCAAGAGUUCAUAUCGACGGCGGUGUUUGGCACCUCGAUGUCGGCUCAUCACAUCCUGGGGCUGAAGUAGGUCCCAAGGGUAUGGCUGUUCGCCAUUUAAAGUGGUACGCGAGCUGGGUUUAGAACGUCGUGAGACAGUUCGGUCCCUAUCUGCCGUGGGCGCUGGAGAACUGAGGGGGGCUGCUCCUAGUACGAGAGGACCGGAGUGGACGCAUCACUGGUGUUCGGGUUGUCAUGCCAAUGGCACUGCCCGGUAGCUAAAUGCGGAAGAGAUAAGUGCUGAAAGCAUCUAAGCACGAAACUUGCCCCGAGAUGAGUUCUCCCUGACUCCUUGAGAGUCCUGAAGGAACGUUGAAGACGACGACGUUGAUAGGCCGGGUGUGUAAGCGCAGCGAUGCGUUGAGCUAACCGGUACUAAUGAACCGUGAGG